AUGACGUCAAGUCCUCAUGGCCUUUAUGUCUAGGGCUACACACGUACUACAAUGGCCGGUACAAAGGGCAGCGACUCAGCGAUGAGGGGCUAAUCCCAUAAAGCCGGUCUCAGUCCGGAUCGCAGUCUGCAACUCGACUGCGUGAAGUUGGAAUCGCUAGUAAUCGCGGAUCAGCAUGCCGCGGUGAAUACGUUCCCGGGCCUU
rnacentral:rRNA from 1 species